GCGCUGAUCAGUAUGUUGGUGUGGCCGGAAAUGAUUGCAUGCAUGUUGCUGUUCUCAUUGGAGUUAUCUUGGUGUGCAUCAUCGUGGUGAUAGCAGGAACUACUUUUACAAUAAUAUACCUGAGGAAAAGGAUAAACUCGUCGAGAGAAGGAACAUUUUUUUCGGAGAUGACCUCUUCAUCUUCAUCUAACUCCUCAAACUUGUUAAAUAAAAACGAAGGUGUGUUUGACUCAGAAUCGGUGAAGGAAAAUGCAAAAGUGUCGGAGACGAAAAGUUUCACCAUUAUCGAGAGAAUGUGACCAUUGGACCAUAUUUGGACAGGACCUCAUAUCAACGGUUAUUGAGCGUAUACAGAAGUUCCAAGACCUCCUCAUCUUCAUCUUAGUGCUGAGACUUGUAAAUAAGAUUGAAGGGCACAACAGACUGUUCUCCUACGAUUCAUGAUUGUAAUUGUUAAUUAUAGUCUGGUCCAAAUAUAACAAACAAAUAAGAUGCAACUCAACUGGAAACUACAUUGCUCAAA